rnacentral:rRNA from 1 species
GAUGAACGCUGGCGGCGUGCCUAAUACAUGCAAGUCGAGCGAACGGACGAGAAGCUUGCUUCUCUGAUGUUAGCGGCGGACGGGUGAGUAACACGUGGAUAACCUACCUAUAAGACUGGGAUAACUUCGGGAAACCGGAGCUAAUACCGGAUAAUAUUUUGAACCGCAUGGUUCAAAAGUGAAAGACGGUCUUGCUGUCACUUAUAGAUGGAUCCGCGCUGCAUUAGCUAGUUGGUAAGGUAACGGCUUACCAAGGCAACGAUGCAUAGCCGACCUGAGAGGGUGAUCGGCCACACUGGAACUGAGACACGGUCCAGACUCCUACGGGAGGCAGCAGUAGGGAAUCUUCCGCAAUGGGCGAAAGCCUGACGGAGCAACGCCGCGUGAGUGAUGAAGGUCUUCGGAUCGUAAAACUCUGUUAUUAGGGAAGAACAUAUGUGUAAGUAACUGUGCACAUCUUGACGGUACCUAACCAGAAAGCCACGGCUAACUACGUGCCAGCAGCCGCGGUAAUACGUAGGUGGCAAGCGUUAUCCGGAGUUAUUGGGCGUAAAGCGCGCGUAGGCGGUUUUUUAAGUCUGAUGUGAAAGCCCACGGCUCAACCGUGGAGGGUCAUUGGAAACUGGAAAACUUGAGUGCAGAAGAGGAAAGUGGAAUUCCAUGUGUAGCGGUGAAAUGCGCAGAGAUAUGGAGGAACACCAGUGGCGAAGGCGACUUUCUGGUCUGUAACUGACGCUGAUGUGCGAAAGCGUGGGGAUCGAACAGGAUUAGAUACCCUGGUAGUCCACGCCGUAAACGAUGAGUGCUAAGUGUUAGGGGGUUUCCGCCCCUUAGUGCUGCAGCUAACGCAUUAAGCACUCCGCCUGGGGAGUACGACCGCAAGGUUGAAACUCAAAGGAAUUGACGGGGACCCGCACAAGCGGUGGAGCAUGUGGUUUAAUUCGAAGCAACGCGAAGAACCUUACCAAAUCUUGACAUCCUUUGACAACUCUAGAGAUAGAGCCUUCCCCUUCGGGGGACAAAGUGACAGGUGGUGCAUGGUUGUCGUCAGCUCGUGUCGUGAGAUGUUGGGUUAAGUCCCGCAACGAGCGCAACCCUUAAGCUUAGUUGCCAUCAUUAAGUUGGGCACUCUAAGUUGACUGCCGGUGACAAACCGGAGGAAGGUGGGGAUGACGUCAAAUCAUCAUGCCCCUUAUGAUUUGGGCUACACACGUGCUACAAUGGACAAUACAAAGGGCAGCGAAACCGCGAGGUCAAGCAAAUCCCAUAAAGUUGUUCUCAGUUCGGAUUGUAGUCUGCAACUCGACUACAUGAAGCUGGAAUCGCUAGUAAUCGUAGAUCAGCAUGCUACGGUGAAUACGUUCCCGGGUCU